GUCUCGAUAGCUCAGUCGGGAGAACGUUAGACUGAAGAUCUAAAGGUCCCUGGUUCAAUCCCGGGUCGAGGCA
rnacentral:tRNA from 1 species